UGUGCCAGGGAUAGAAAAGGUAAGGUAUUGUACAUGGGUCAGACAGGGUGAGGCUGCUGUGCCAGGAACUCAGCGAGCUGGAACUGCAGAAGAAAGAGAAAAAGAACCAGAGCUGUGUAGGGUUCUUCACAGGACUGCAGCUUAGCAAAGGCACUGAACUCCAGCAGUUUUGCUGUAAGAACUUCAUGGGAUCUGUGUUAGAACUGUGCUGCACAAAGACUGCUUCUGCUGAUAGAAGAAAAUAACGUACUCCUAUGGCUACUUUGAGAAUCAUAAUGGGCUUCAAUGCGUGUUGGAAUCUCUGAAUAAAAGAAAAGGUGCCUGUGCUACUGGUGCACCAUAACACAUCUAUUUAAGAGCUGGGUUUUACUCUGGUCCUCUGUGCUGGGGUAAUUUUUGCCUGAGUAGAGAAAAAAAAGUUUUUGAUAGGUGAUACAAAGAACUGACUGAAAAUUGGAGCUUUCAUAUACUUGGAGACCACACUCUGAUAUGGAAAUUGGAAUAUGAAUUGAUGAGUGUUAGGAACAGAAAUACCCAAGUUACAGAACUUAAAG